CCUGCAUGGUGACUUUUUUG
rnacentral:misc_RNA from 1 species